rnacentral:rRNA from 1 species
GGGUCAGUAGGUUGGUCGUGCCACCGGUACGUACUGGUCUCACUGAUUCCUCCUUCCUGAAGAACCGUAAUGCCAUUAAUUUGGUGUUGCGGGGAAACAGGACUGUUACUUUGAAAAAAUUAGAGUGUUUAAAGCAAGCUAACGCUUGAAUACAUUAGCAUGGAAUAAUGUAAUAGGGCGAUCGAUCCUAUUUUGUUGGUUUCUAGGAUUGACGUA